CGUGUGCUGUAGGGCGGAGUGAAUGUGUGAGCGUAGAUGUGGUUCGUGGCUGUCCGCAGGGAUCUAUCUGUGGCCCAUUCAUUUGGAACCUCAUGAUGGACCCAUGCUAAUGCAGCUCGAGCAGAUGUGUAAGUGGUGUGCGUAUGCGGACGAUCUGCUCGUCUUGAUUGAGGGUCGGUCGCGUCUUGAGAUCGAGACGAAUGCGGGUAUGUGCUUGCGCACUGUGUAUGAGUGGGGUGAAAGUGUUGGGGACAGUCUUGCAAUGGACAAGACAGUGUCAAUGCUGCUCAAGGGCAGAUUGGCAACUAGUCGGCCACCCAUUGUCAGACUGAAUGGAGUGAAUGUGAGGUAUGCGUCUAAGGUUAAAUACCUCGGCAUAGCCUUCGGCGAGAGGAUGUGUUUCACUCCUCAUAUCGCUGGUCUCAAGGCCCGGCUACUUGGUUGGGUGGGGCAAGUGCGUCGUAUUUUGAGGUCUGACUGGGGCCUAAGCAGACGUGCUGUCCGCACCAUCUAUGAGGGUCUGUUUGCUGCAUGUGCAGCAUAUGGAUCGUCUGUAUGGUGCAAGGCGGUCACGACUGUGGUUGGCAGAAAGAAAGUGCUGGCUUGCCAGAGAGUGCUUCUCCUAGGUUAUUUGCCUGUGUGCCGCACUGUCUCUACGAAGGCAAUGCAGGUACUGUUAGGAGUGGCCCCCCUUGACUUGGAGAUCAGGCGUCGAGCCUUGAUGUAUAGGAUCAAGAGGCGGCUGCCAUUGCUGCAGAAUGAUUGGCUAGCAGAUAGGGAUGUGGAGAGCUUAGGGCUUAGUGAAUGCAAGAGAUUGGUGAAAGAGUGCGUUUUGUCUGACUGGCAAGUCAGAUGGGACACAAGCGUGAAUGGGCGUGUCACUCAUCGGUUUAUACGGGAGGUUACAUUUGCCGGCAGCCGACCAGACUUUGGGUUCGGCCUGAGUCUUGGAUUCCUGUUGACUGGUCACGGUUCCCUCAAUGCAUUUUUGCAUUCGAGAAGCCUUUAUAACAGUCCAGAAUGCCGUUGUGGCUCGGCUGCUGAGACAUGGGAGCAUGUUCUCUGUGAGUGCACAAUGUAUGCAGAUCUUCGAGAUCUGAGGGGGAUGGGUAUAAGUGAAUGGGGAAGUGAAAAAAUGGGCAUUUUGUUGAACAUUGUGUUGUCCGGGGCUACCAGUCCCCAGCAUAAUGGAGCUAAAACUGGAAGUGUCCUUUUAGGAUACGAGUUCUGACCAGAGGGUUGAUCUGUGGCCACGGGCGUUAGGGAGCACAGAGGCGGUCUCGGCUUUCUGCUCUCUCCGCCAUAGUCUAUUGGGAUUGGUUGGGGACACUAGCUGGCCGCCUAGCGGUUUGAUCUAUGAUCAACUUGAAAAUGCCGUCAUUUGCGGAAGAGGCAGGAAUAAGCCUCCCUCCCCACAGUGAGAAAGCCAUGCCAUGAACAAGGUGUAUACUGUUCCACCUGUCAAUUGCUGUUUUACAUCAAUUGCGUUCUAUUCCCUGCAGCAGUGUUUUAUCGUUUCUGGGGCUACCAACCCUUAACUGUUUUGGAGUUUAAAUUGGAAGUACCCUUCUGGUACGAGGCCUGACCAGAGGUCUUUAAUCUGGUACCACGGGUAACCAGGAGCCCACGGAACUUGUUCCGUCCUGGUUAGUUGGUGCGGCCCUUCGGGGAGUAUCGUGGUGGUUGUGGUUUGACACCCAAAUGCGGGUAGAGCUUGCUCGACGUGGAGUUGCGUCAUACAACCGGGUUCCCUAAUCCAGAUUUCGGAAGAGGCUUAGAUAGUCCUCGUGCCAAACCAAGGUAGAAGUCACAACCAAACAGUCGUGUCUUUAAUUGGUACCUGCGGAAUUGUUCCAAGCGGGCGGUGAUUGACGCUUGAAUUAAUCCUAUACUAGGAACCGUGAGAUUAAGCCAUCGUGGCAGGUGCUCACGUUAAUCCCACUGACUUUCAUGUCCCUAUCUACUAUCUAGCGAAACCACAGCCAAGGGAACGGGCUUGGAAUAAUUAGCGGGGAAAGAAGACCCUUUUGAGCUUGACUCUAAUCUGGCAGUGUAAGGAGACAUAAGAGGUGUAGAAUAAGUGGGAGAUAUUAGACUUCGGUUUGGUAUCGACAAUGAAAUACCACUACUCUUAUUGUUUCCUUACUUACUUGAUUAAAUGGAACGUGUAUCAUUUCCUAGCCAUUAUACGGAUAUAAUUAUUAUGUCUUAUGGUAUUGGGUUUUGAUGCAAGCUUCUUGAUCAAAGUAUCACGAGUUUGUUAUAUAAUCGCAAACAAAUUCUUUAAUGAGAGAAUGCAUUUAUGUAUUAUUGAUUUAAAAAUUUGGUAUAACUCCAAUUACUCAGGUAUGAUCCAAUUCAAGGACAUUGCCAGGUAGGGAGUUUGACUGGCGCGGUACAUCUCUCAAAUAAUAACGGAGGUGUCCCAAGGCCAGCUCAGUGCGGACAGAAACCACACAUAGAGCAAAAGGGCAAAUGCUGACUUGAUCUCGGUGUUUAGUACACACAGGGACAGCAAAAGCUCAGCCUAUCGAUCCUUUUGGCUUAAAGAGUUUUUAACAAGAGGUGUCAGAAAAGUUACCAUAGGGAUAACUGGCUUGUGGCGGCCAAGCGUUCAUAGCGACGUCGCUUUUUGAUCCUUCGAUGUCGGCUCUUCCUAUCAUUGUGAAGCAAAAUUCACCAAGCGUUGGAUUGUUCACCCAUGCAAGGGAACGUGAGCUGGGUUUAGACCGUCGUGAGACAGGUUAGUUUUACCCUACUAAUGACAAAACGUUGUUGCGACAGCAUUCCUGCGUAGUACGAGAAGAAACGCAGGUACGGACCAAUGGCACAAUACUUGUUCGAGCGAACAGUGGUAUGACGCUACGUACGUUGGAUUAUGCCUGAACGCCUCUAGGGUCGUAUCCGUGCUGGACUGCAAUGAUAAAUAAGGGGCAAUUUGCAUUGUAUGGCUUCUAAACCAUUAAAAGUUUUUAAUUUAUUUUAUUAACGCCAACGGAUGUGAUGCCAAUGUUAUUUAUAACAUAGUAAAUUGGGAGGAUCUUCGAUCACCUGAUGCCGCGCUAGUUAUAUUUUAAAACAUUAUUU
rnacentral:rRNA from 1 species